UGCACCGCAAGCCUCCAUGGCCAGAAAAAGAAAAGAAAAGAAAAGAAAAGAAAAGAGAGAACCUUCCAAAAAGUGCAACUACAACGAUGCAACGGUAUAUUCCCGCGUGAGCAGCACUCUCUUGGCUCGAUUCGCAUCUGCGAGUUCAUACGGCUUUGGGCAUCACCACCGAUUAGUUCAGGAGCAUUCAUAAUGCCCAUAUUGCACAAGCGUGCCACACUAUCUCUUUUGGUGUGCUUGCGCUCGCAUGGCCAGCGGCCCGUCUCGUUAUUUGCGUGGUGAACGAUGCCACUUUCCACGUCUUCGGAGAUAUAGAUCCUUCAAUGGUAUUCAACUGAAAGAACUGAAAGACUAAAAUGGAUCGCGUUGGGUUCCAUACUGUUGUCCCGGGGCCGAUGAUAUUUUAGGGAGGAGUAGGGAUGGGUAGAAACUCUUAAAAUCCACAGUUGGAAAUGAAUUUAGCAUCGAAGAGGAACAGACCGCAUGCAUUGUUAUAUAGGGAGAGCUGGAGACCAGGCUGGAGAAUUAGAAAAGAUAAACAUCGCAUUUGGGAAGUAGAGCAAACGCAAAGAGGGUUAAUAUAGAUAAUUCUGGAGGGGUUUCAUGACACU
rnacentral:sRNA from 1 species